GAGUUUGAUCUUGGCUCAGAUUGAACGCUGGCGGCAUGCCUUACACAUGCAAGUCGAACGGCAGCAUGAUCUAGCUUGCUAGAUUGAUGGCGAGUGGCGAACGGGGUGAGUAAUACAUCGGAACGUGCCCUGUAGUGGGGGAUAACUAGUCGGAAGAUUAGCUAAUACCGCAUACGACCUGAGGGUGAAAGUGGGGGACCGCAAGGCCUCAUGCUAUAGGAGCGGCCGAUGUCUGAUUAGCUAGUUGGUGGGGUAAAGGCCCACCAAGGCGACGAUCAGUAGCUGGUCUGAGAGGACGAUCAGCCACACUGGGACUGAGACACGGCCCAGACUCCUACGGGAGGCAGCAGUGGGGAAUUUGGACAAUGGGCGAAGCCUGAUCCAGCAAUGCCGCGUGUGUGAAGAAGGCCUCGGUUGUAAG
rnacentral:rRNA from 1 species